rnacentral:rRNA from 1 species
AUGAACGCUAGCGACAAGGCCUAACACAUGCAAGUCGAGGGGCAGCACAAGGAGCAAUCUGAGGUGGCGACCGGCGCACGGGUGAGUAACACGUAUGCAACCUGCCUGUAAGCGGGGAAUAACCCGUUGAAAGACGGACUAAUACCGCAUAAUACUAAAUUACUGCAUGGUAAUUUAUUUAAACAUUUAUGGCUUACAGAUGGGCAUGCGCAUGAUUAGCUAGUUGGAGAGGUAACGGCUCCCCAAGGCAACGAUCAUUAGGGGUUCUGAGAGGAAGGUCCCCCACACUGGUACUGAGACACGGACCAGACUCCUACGGGAGGCAGCAGUGAGGAAUAUUGGUCAAUGGACGAGAGUCUGAACCAGCCAAGUCGCGUGCAGGAAGAAUGUCCUUAAUGGAUUGUAAACUGCUUUUGCAGGGGAAUAAAGUGCAUCACGUGUGAUGUUUUGUAUGUACUCUGCGAAUAAGGAUCGGCUAACUCCGUGCCAGCCGCUGC